CUCAUUUGGCUCUCGUUUCCCCACCUGUCUAUCUUACACCCUGGUCCUAAUACAGCCUUGCAUGGUAAGCAACCGCUUUGUUUUGCAGGACGUACGGCGAAUGCAAGCAGACAGACCCAAGAGAAAACAGCCGAGCUGCAAAAUGGUUCACCAUUUUCCAUUAGGACACCCUGACCGACAGGCCUAAUCAAGCUGGUCAUGGCAUGCCUAUCUCAAAAGAGGGCAAGGAACUUUAGCCGGUGGCAAUGUCGGACUCACAGAAAAGUCACCGAACAGCGAGACUCAAGGCUACAGCUCAACUUGCGUGAACGUACGGCGAAUGCAAGCAGACAGACCCAAGAGAAAACAGCCGAGCUGCAAAAUAGAUCAUUGUUUUCCGUUAGGACACCCUGACCGACAGGCCACGAUCAAGCGUAAUGGAGAGAUGCAAGCAUUGGCACCUGCCCUCUCAAGCCGGAUUUUUCAAGCCCAGCAUGGUGCACCUCUAUUGUUGGCACGUCAGUGCCAACAGUAGAGGCAUUAGGAGAUGAGGACAGGCCAGUGCUAUAAUUCUUCCCAGUCCAUUAGCUGUAAUUAGGGUUCUGCGUUCUCAGAUAAACCUGAUAAACUCCAAAAAACACUAGCCGUUAAAAUUUUGCUGAUUCAGAUUCAUUUGAAAAACUCAAUUUUUCGGUCCCCCACCAGUCUUUAUAUUUCCCGGAAUCUUCGAACAAUUUUUGCAAUUCUCCUCUUAUUGCAGUGUCAACUUCCGUUGCCAUGUAGCCCCUUAUAAUAAAAAUGAGGUAGGCCCUCUACGACAGUAGAUGAAUACGGCGCUCUCAUAUGAAAAUACUGCUUUACUAAAUUCACAAAGUGCUGUUUUCUACCUUUCAUUUGCCUCAUCGAAAAUGCCGAAAGACUCCGAACUUUGCGUACAUAAAUGGAAGCUCCAAAUUGAUGGUUCAAAAAAACAAAA